rnacentral:rRNA from 1 species
GCAACUGGGCGUCGGCUUACCAUGCAGUCGAACGAUGAAACUCUAGCUUGCUAGAGAUGAUUAGUGGCGGACGGGUGAGUAACAUUUAGGAAUCUGCCUAGUAGUGGGGGAUAGCUCGGGGAAACUCGAAUUAAUACCGCAUACGACCUACGGGUGAAAGGGGGCGCAAGCUCUUGCUAUUAGAUGAGCCUAAAUCAGAUUAGCUAGUUGGUGGGGUAAAGGCCCACCAAGGCGACGAUCUGUAACUGGUCUGAGAGGAUGAUCAGUCACACCGGAACUGAGACACGGUCCGGACUCCUACGGGAGGCAGCAGUGGGGAAUAUUGGACAAUGGGGGCAACCCUGAUCCAGCCAUGCCGCGUGUGUGAAGAAGGCCUUUUGGUUGUAAAGCACUUUAAGCAGGGAGGAGAGGCUAAUGGUUAAUACCCAUUAGAUUAGACGUUACCUGCAGAAUAAGCACCGGCUAACUCUGUGCCAGCAGCCGCGGUAAUACAGAGGGUGCGAGCGUUAAUCGGAAUUACUGGGCGUAAAGCGAGUGUAGGUGGCUCAUUAAGUCACAUGUGAAAUCCCCGGGCUUAACCUGGGAACUGCAUGUGAUACUGGUGGUGCUAGAAUAUGUGAGAGGGAAGUAGAAUUCCAGGUGUAGCGGUG